UACACUCCUGCGGGAGGCAGCAGUGGGGAAUAUUGCACAAUGGGCGCAAGCCUGAUGCAGCCAUGCCGCGUGUGUGAAGAAGGCCUUCGGGUUGUAAAGCACUUUCAGCGGGGAGGAAGGCGAUACGGUUAACAACCGUGUUGAUUGACGUUACCCGCAGAAGAAGCACCGGCUAACUCCGUGCCAGCAGCCGCGGUACUACGGAGGGUGCAAGCGUUAAUCGGAAUUACUGGGCGUAAAGCGCACGCAGGCGGUCUGUCAAGUCGGAUGUGAAAUCCCCGGGCUCAACCUGGGAACUGCAUUCGAAACUGGCAGGCUUGAGUCUUGUAGAGGGGGGUAGAAUUCCAGGUGUAGCGGUGAAAUGCGUAGAGAUCUGGAGGAAUACCGGUGGCGAAGGCGGCCCCCUGGACAAAGACUGACGCUCAGGUGCGAAAGCGUGGGGAGCAAACAGGAUUAGAAACCCCUGUAGUCCC
rnacentral:rRNA from 1 species